rnacentral:rRNA from 1 species
GAUGAACGCUGGCGGCAUGCCUAAUACAUGCAAGUCGAGCGAAGCGGGGACGGGUGAGUAACACGUGGAUAACCUCCUAUAAGCCUGGGAUAACUUCGGGAACCCGGAGCUAUACCGGAUACUUAUCGAUGGAUCCUCGCUGCAUUAGCUAGUUGGUAAGGUAACGGCCUACCAAGGCAACGAUGCCUAGCCGACCUGCGAGGGUGAUCGGCCACACUGGAACUGAGACACGGUCCAGACUCCUACGGGAGGCAGCAGUAGGGAAGCUUCCGCAAUGGGCGAAAGCCUGACGGAGCAACGCCGCGUGAGUGAUGAAGGUCUUCGGAUCGUAAAACUCUGUUAUUAGGGAAGCGGUACCUAAGCAGAAAGCAACGGCUAACUCCGUGCCAGCAGCCGCGGUAAUUC